rnacentral:tRNA from 1 species
GCGGACGUGGUGGAAUUGGCAGACACGCCAGACUUAGGAUCUGGUGGGAUAAUACCCGUGGGAGUUCGAGUCUCCCCGUCCGCA